rnacentral:rRNA from 1 species
AUACGGAGGGUGCAAGCGUUGUUCGGAAUUACUGGGCGUAAAGCGCGCGUAGGCGGUCUGUUAUGUCAGAUGUGAAAGUCCUCGGCUCAACCGGGGAAGUGCAUUUGAAACUGGCAGACUUGAGUACUGGAGGGGGUGGUGGAAUUCCCGGUGUAGAGGUGAAAUUCGUAGAUAUCGGGAGGAAUACCGGUGGCGAAGGCGACCACCUGGCCAGAUACUGACGCUGAGGUGCGAAAGCGUGGGGAGCAAACAGGAUUAGAAACCCCAGUAGUCC